UGGCUCAGGACGAACGCUGGCGGCGUGCUUUAUACAUGCAAGUCGAACGAUGAAGUUCCUUCGGGAAUGGAUUAGUGGCGAACGGGUGAGGAACACGUGAGAAACCUGCCUUUCAUUCCGGGAUAACACCGGGAAACCGGUGCUAAUACCGGAUACUCCGUCUUGGCGGCAUCGCCGAGCCGGGAAAAAAUUUUGAUGAAAGAUGGUCUCGCGGCCUAUCANCUAGUUGGUGAGGUAAAGGCUCACCAAGGCGACGACGGGUAGCCGGCCUGAGAGGGCGACCGGCCACACUGGGACUGAGACACGGCCCAGACUCCUACGGGAGGCAGCAGUGGGGAAUAUUGGGCAAUGGAGGAAACUCUGACCCAGCGACGCCGCGUGCGGGAUGAAGGCCUUCGGGUUGUAAACCGCUUUCAGUAGGGAAGAAGCGAAAGUGACGGUACCUACAAAAGAAGCACCGGCUAACUAUGUGCCAGCAGCCGCGGUAAUACAUAGGGUGCAAGCGUUGUCCGGAAUUAUUGGGCGUAAAGAGCUCGUAGGUCGUUUGUUACGUCGGAUGUGAAAACCUGAGGCUCAACCUCAGGCCUGCAUUCGAUACGGGCAAACUAGAGUUUGGUAGGGGAGACUGGAAUUCCUGGUGUAGCGGUGGAAUGCGCAGAUAUCAGGAGGAACACCAAUGGCGAAGGCAGGUCUCUGGGCCAAUACUGACACUGAGGAGCGAAAGUCUGGGGAGCGAACAGGAUUAGAUACCCUGGUAGUCCAGACCGUAAACGGUGGGCACUAGUUGUGGGAACCUUCCACGGUUUCUGCGACGCAGCUAACGCAUUAAG
rnacentral:rRNA from 1 species